GUGUUUUGGUUUCCCCAUGACUGCAAAAAAGAUUAAUAAAUGAGAAAUAAUCAAGUCAGUUUUUUCAUUAAACAUAGCAGAUGCCCAAUGGAAAUGUGAAUAAGUGUCAAUGGUAUGAUGGACGAAUUUUAACUUCCCAAAAGGCGUGUAUUGGAUAACAUCUAUUUGCCAAAUUCGAUUGAUGUCUCCACCUCAAGGAUUCACUCCGGCAGGCGCAUGAUUACAGAACUUGGCUCCAACCUGGCCAGUAGUCAUAAGGGCCUCCGGCCUUUGUAGAUAAGACAAGGUUUACUACUCAGUCCUGGACCUCAAAGAUGCCUUCUUUACCCUGCCGCUUGCUGCGAAAAGCCAACCCAUCUUUGCCUUUGAGUGGACAGACCCUGAAGGGGGUUUCUCAGGCCAGCUUACCUGGACCAGACUCUCUCAGGGCUUCAAGAACUCUCCCAUCAUUUUUGAUGAAGCCCUGAGCCAGGACCUCCUCAACUUCUGAGAAAGCCACCCACAGCUUGACCCUGUUGCCGCAGGCUGGCCGUCUUUCAUGAGAGCGAUAGCUGCAACCGCUCUCCUUGUCAAGGAGGCGCAGAAGCUGACCUUAGGCCAGGACCUCCAAAUCAUCAGAGACCACACCACUGAAGCCUUACUCAGGUCUCCUCCUGGCAGAUGGAUUUGCAACGCUCACCUCACCCAAUAUCAGUAGACACUUCUAUAUUCCAGAUCUCAAGACUAUAGCCACUUCGGAGGUUACCUGAUGUUCUGACUGUGCACAGGUAAAUCCAGGACCUCCCAGACCCCAUGGACUUGGGGUCCAAAUCAGAGGACAUGAACCAGAGUCAUCUGAACUUAUAGAGGAAGACUCUGAAUCACUGUCCUCGGGAUGUUCAGGACAUGGAGGAGGAGGUCCUGUUCACCUCCGAGGAGAGGGACAGGAUACACAGAGAGGCAGCAAAAUUCAUCCUCAGGCCAGCCAACCCCUCACAGAUCCAGCCCAAAUAGGAGCCUACCUCCCAACUACCCGACUGAAUUGGGACCUGAACACUGAUCAAGCCAACCCAUCUGCGCCUUCAAAUGGGUUGAUCCAGAACGGGGAUUCUCAGGACAACUGACCUGGACCUGACUGCCUCAAGAAUUCAAGAACUCUCCUACCAUCUUCGAUGAGGACUUGAGCAAGGACUUCCCAACUGUUCUGGGAAAGGUACCAACAUGUCACCCUGCUACAGUAGCUCUUUGAAGGCAAUCCAGAGGCUGAGAGAACAGACCUGACAGCCAAUCAAGGACAGCAGACCCCAACCGGGGACACCCCAGAUACCACCGCACAACUUCACCCCUGGUGACUGGGUCUGGGUCAAGAAACAUCAGCCUGCCUCCCUUGAGCCUCACUGGACUAGCCCUUUUCCUAUUAUCCUGACUACACCCACCACUCUGAAGGUAGCAGGAUGGAAAUUUUGGAUUCACCAC